UACGGGGGGGGCAAGCGUUGUUCGGAAUUACUGGGCGUAAAGGGCGCGUAGGCGGUUCGCUAAGUCGGAUGUGAAAACUCGGGGCUCAACCCCGAGCCUGCUUCCGAUACGGGCGGACUAGAGGUAGGUAGGGGAGAACGGAAUUCCUGGUGUAGCGGUGAAAUGCGCAGAUAUCAGGAGGAACACCGGUGGCGAAGGCGGGUCUCUGGGCCGAUACUGACGCUGAGGAGCGAAAGCGUGGGGAGCGAACAGG
rnacentral:rRNA from 1 species